GAGAAGAACGCAGCGAAAUGCGAUAAGUAAUGUGAAUUGCAGAAUUCAGUGAAUCAUCGAAUCUUUGAACGCACAUUGCGCCCGCUAGUAUUCUGGCGGGCAUGCCUGUCCGAGCGUCAUUUCAACCCUCAAGCCCCCGGGCUUGGUGUUGGGGAUCGGCGAGCCUCCGCGCCCGCCGUCCCCUAAAUCUAGUGGCGGUCUCGCUGUAGCUUCCUCUGCGUAGUAGCACACCUCGCACUGGGAAACAGCGCGGCCACGCCGUUAAACCCCCAACUUCUGAACGUUUGACCUCGGAUCAGGUAGGAAUACCCGCUGAACUUAAGCAUAUCAAUAAGCGGAGGA
rnacentral:misc_RNA from 1 species